rnacentral:rRNA from 1 species
UACGUAGGGGCCUAGCGUUGUCCGGAUUUACUGGGCGUAAAGGGCGCGUAGGCGGCCACCGCAAGUCGGUUGUGAAAUCUCCGGGCUUAACCCGGAAAGGUCAAUCGAUACUGCGGGGCUAGAGUGCAGAAGGGGCAAUCGGAAUUCUUGGUGUAGCGGUGAAAUGCGUAGAUAUCGAGAGGAACACCUGCGGCGAAGGCGGGUUGCUGGGCUGACACUGACGCUGAUGCGCGAAAGCUAGGGGAGCGAACGGG